rfam:Bacillus solimangrovi strain GH2-4 NODE_8_length_133311_cov_1.65123_ID_5745, whole genome shotgun sequence.
ACGAUGUUCCGCUGCAAUGAUACAAAAGGCAUUGACAUGAGCAUUGG